AUUGAACGCUGGCGGCAUGCUUUACACAUGCAAGUCGAACGGUAACAGGCCGCAAGGUGCUGACGGGUGGCGAACGGGUGAGUAAUGCAUCGGAACGUGCCCAGUCGUGGGGGAUAACUACUCGAAAGAGUAGCUAAUACCGCAUACGAUCUAUGGAUGAAAGCGGGGGACCGUAAGGCCUCGCGCGAUUGGAGCGGCCGAUGUCAGAUUAGGUAGUUGGUGGGGUAAAGGCUCACCAAGCCAACGAUCUGUAGCUGGUCUGAGAGGACGACCAGCCACACUGGGACUGAGACACGGCCCAGACUCCUACGGGAGGCAGCAGUGGGGAAUUUUGGACAAUGGGCGCAAGCCUGAUCCAGCAAUGCCGCGUGCAGAAAGAAGGCCUUCGGGUUGUAAACUGCUUUUGUACGGAACGAAACGGCUCUGGUUAAUACCCGGGGCUAAUGACGGUACCGUAAGAAUAAGCACCGGCUAACUACGUG
rnacentral:rRNA from 1 species